CAGAGAUUAAAAAUACAUAGAAAUAAUGGUCACAGUCCUUAGAACAGGCCCAUAUUAAUCAGGGCAGGACCCUGGCAAUAGCUCUUAGAAAACAUAUGAUUGUGGCAGUGCUGCUUCUUUCUAAGUACAGUGAAGACUAUUAUUUCCGAGAUCUGGAAGAGUCAAAAGAAUUUUACCAAAUGAAUGUUGUCAAUGCCAUUACAUAAUUUGGGUCCAUGUCAAAAAAGGUUAAAAACUAC